UACCGCCUUAUUCGCCUCAUUUUGGUGGU
rnacentral:sRNA from 1 species